rnacentral:lncRNA from 1 species
GGGGGGGGGGGGGGGGGGGGGGGGGGGGGGGGGGGGGGGGGGGGGGGGGGGGGGGGGGGGGGGGGGGGGCCGCCGCCCGAGUCUCCUCCUCCCGCUGCCCGGCCCCGCCUCGUUUGGGAUCCUGUGCCGGGACUGGGGUGUCGCCUGUCCCCUGUGUUGUCCCUCCAAGGGGCUCCUGGGCCCGCUGCUCUCCGACGGGGCCUCCGGGAAUCGGCCGGUGGUGCCCUGGCCCGGAGAGGGGUCACAGAAUCGUCGGAUCAGGAUGGAAAGCAAAUUCCCCAGACGCUCCAAGCCUGUGGAGGUGGUGGCUUCAGGCAGAGCAUCAAAUGCUCCAACACUUUGGAUUUGACAUCUAUCAACUCUGCAGCUUGAUUACAGUCACCACAAACUUGCAUAGGAACAGCAGCUGCAUACAUGAAUCCUGUGCUUCUGGAAACCAGAAAAAUUGCAUAGGUAAUUUUAUAAAUAUGUGUUUAUAUAUAUGGAUUAAAUAG